rnacentral:misc_RNA from 1 species
GAUGAAGAACGUAGCGAAAUGCGAUAAGUAAUGUGAAUUGCAGAAUUCAGUGAAUCAUCGAAUCUUUGAACGCACAUUGCGCCCGCCAGUAUUCUGGCGGGCAUGCCUGUCUGAGCGUCAUUUCAACCCUCAUGCCCCUAGGGCGUGGUGUUGGGGAUCGGCCAGCGCCCGCGAGGGACGGCCGGCCCCUAAAUCUAGUGGCGGACCCGUCGUGGCCUCCCCUGCGAAGUAGUGAUAUUCCGCAUAGGAGAGCGACGAGCCCCUGCCGUUAAACCCCCAACUUUCUAAGGUUGACCUCAGAUCAGGUAGGAAUACCCGCUGAACUUAAGCAUAUCAAUAAGCGGAGGA